CGGCCACCGCCCACGGGAGUCCGGGACGGGAAGGGGGGGAGCUUUCCGCCGGCGGGGACGGCGCAGGGUAGCAAACCUCAGCCAAAAAACUAAACCUUUUUUUUCUUUAUUUUUUGUUCUUGUUUUCAGCUCGGUGUUUUCUCCUUUUUUUUUUUUUUUUUUUUUUUUUUGGGGGGGGGGGAGCGAGGGCUCCCGCCCCUCCCGCCCCGGGAGGCAGAGCCGCCGUGCCCCGGGCGGGCGGAGGCCGGGACCGGGCUUGCCCGAGCCUGCCGGGCUCUCCCGGCUCCGGCCUCGAGGCUCCGUGGAGCCGCCGCUUUUAAGACGCUCGGGGAAACCUUUCCCGGGAUUCCUGCUCCGUUGGAGAAACCUGCUGCGUUUAGACGGGGGAUAAACCAAACCAAACCCUGGGCUUGCCAGCAGCAAGGAGGCCGGCGGGGUGUCACUGCGGGGUUAGAGAGGAGCUGGAGGGAAGGAGGAAGGCUGGAAGCGUGCGUGACUGUGACACCGGUUGUGUGAUCGCCCUAAAAACACCCGUGAUGGACACGCGGGGCGAUGCGUGCGCCCAGCAGAUACAGCCGUCGGAGCGGGCGAGCCAGGUCUCCGUCCCACUUGGCUGUCCUUGCGCCAGAACACGAGGCUUGCCUGUCCUCCGUGGGCUCUCCGUGGGGACUGCGGCUACUCUUUUCCUGCUCUGCCAUGGUUUAAAAAAAAAAAAAAAAAAAAAGAAAAAAGAAGAAAAAAAAGAAAAUAACAAAAAUUACCUGGUCCGAAGACGGACAGUGUUCGGUGUCGCUCAAAAGACGGCUCGUCUUUUGCGCACAAAACCCGUGGCAAAAGCGAAUUCUUUUAAAACGCCCUUUGAUGGUGUAAAAGUUGACCGGUGGUGGGAAGUAGUAAAUAGCGGUAACAAAGAAUAGACUCAUACUGUGAAACUAUGAACGGCGAAUAAACCCUUCCUGGAAAGAACCGAGCUGCACAGAGAGUAGGUGGGCAAUUCGCUGGCUGCUUCCCUGAAAAUUUAGAAGAAAAUGGGAGUGUGACGCGCUGGCACUAUUUAAAAAAACAAACAAACAAACAAAACACGCCUCUGAGAUAGAAGAUUAAAAAAAAAAAAAAAAAGUAGCGUUGUGCUGGACGUGGGCGAGGGAAGAUAAAAGCGAGAGGUGGAAGGCAUGAGUACCAAAAAGCGGGCACGCCUGUCCCCAGCCCUGCCCGAUCCUCGGACGGCAAAAGCCUUCCCAAAUGUUGCAACAGCGCUUUGGAAGCCUCUAAAGAAAAGCUGAAUUGUUCGAACUUAGGUAACUUAAGGAAACUCGUUAUGACCUACAUUGGUGCUCUGAGUCAGCAGCAGCCGCAGCCCCGGCGGGUCCGGCCGAGCUCCCGCCGCCGCCGCGCACCCCGCACCGCGCACCCCGCACCCCGCGGGCGGGGCCGCCCCGCGCACCCCCGCGCACCCCCCGGCUUUCCAAAGAAACUCGCCUGGAUCGAGACGGUUUCACUUCUGCCGUCAGGAAUGCCUCCGCGGGUUUUGUUUUUUGUUUGUUUGUUUUCUGUUUGUUCGGUUUUCUUUUUUUUUUUCUUUUUUUUUUUUUUCAAGUUUUUUUUGUUGUUGGGUGUUUUUUGGUGGGUUGGGGUUUUUUUUUUUGUUUUCAGGUUUGCGGACAGAGCAGCGUGCCUGCUCCUGUGGUGGUUUCCCAGCUGGUUUGUGAGGGGGAAAGAUAAGCAGAUGACAAGGGUAGUUUGUUGUUGUUGUUUUUUGUCGUUUUUUUGUUUGUUUUGUUUUUUCCUCCAAGUUUUUAAAAGCUGUACUUUAUUUUCUGAAAGGAUACCGAUUGUUUGCUGCACCGGGCUCUAGACGCCUAGUAGGGAAAAGUUACUACGUGUUGCACACUGCUUUGCUCUUAAGAUAGGCAAGGAAGCUCUGAAGUUCCUAUCAAAACCUCACCAAAGAGCUCUCCGUAUUCCUCCCGUAAUGUAAUAAAAAAGCAGCAACGAUUAAGCUCCAAAUGUCCACGUUCUCAAAACUCGUAGUUUAAUCCGGUUUGCAGCGAGCUCGGACACUUACACCGACCUUUUAUUAAACGCAUCAGGGGAAGAACCAAACAUGUUUUAACAUCUUGAUUCAAGUAAUGAGUGAGCGACGUUACCGCAUCACCCCAGCCGGGCGAGUGGGCAGAAUCAGGCAGUCAGCUUUUUCUUUUAUAUUCCAAAUGACGAAAGAGUCGAGAUGAAAUGACCUCAAAAAAAAAAACCCCACCCCAAAACUCCGCCUUUUGGAAAGAAGCGCUGGCUGCCUCUGCCUCGCCCCCAGCCCGCUCCCCAUCAAUUCUCACUUCUCAUUUAGCGACACGCCGUUGACAUCAGCCGGCGAAGUGAAACGACAAAAGUCAGCUCAAAACGCCUGGAUUUUCCUCCCAGGCGUUUCCAGGGCUUGCGCACCGCUCCGAGCGCCGCUCCGGGCGUUACUGGCGUCAUUACUGAGCUAUAUUUUUGCAAACUUUGAGGUUUUUAUUGGCCAAAUGCAGCACCUCGACGCGUUUCAACAUGGGACGGAGAAAUCAAAUCAAUUUUCCUUCCCUUUAUUUAAAAAAAAAAAAAAAAAAAAAAAGGCAAGCCACAUCCACAGCAGUGGUGGGGAGCUGAUGCGAUGCUCUUCACUAACAACUUUUAGCAGCUGUGCGUUUCCUGCAAGGGUGAUAUUUCAGUCUCCCCUCUUAAGAAACCAGCGAAAUUUGGAGAUAGCGAUCGAAAGCAGCUCCCCGUGCCCCAAAGCAGCGGGGGGUGGGGGUGGGGGGGCGGGAAGACGCCGGCUCUGAUUUUGGGGGUCGGGUUGUUUCUCGGUGAGGGAAACGGCACCUCUCCCAGCCCCGCUGGCCGUGGGUUUGCAGCCGGACACGGGGGGACGGACGGUUUGCAGGGGGGACGGAGAUCGCCCCGCCGUGGGGAUGAGCCACGGUCACGCAGCCCCCCUCGGGCUCGGCGCUGGGCGGGUGCUGCCAACCGGCGCCAAAUAAAGUCAACGCCUUCGCCUGC